rnacentral:rRNA from 1 species
UACGUAGGGUGCAAGCAUUAAUCGGAUUUAUUGGGCGUAAAGGGCGCGUAGGCGGGAGCGUAAGUCAGAUGUGAAAUCCCGGGGCUCAACCCCGGAACUGCAUUUGAAACUGCGCAUCUAGAGGGUAGGCGGAGAAAACGGAAUUCCACAAGUAGCGGUGAAAUGCGUAGAUAUGUGGAAGAACACCGGUGGCGAAGGCGGUUUUCUAGCUUAUACCUGACGCUAAUGCGCGAAAGCAAGGGGAUCAAACAGG